rnacentral:rRNA from 1 species
GUAGGUGGCAAGCGUUGUCCGGAAUUAUUGGGCGUAAAGCGCGCGCAGGCGGUUCUUUAAGUCUGAUGUGAAAGCCCAAGGCUCAACCGUGGAGGGUCAUUGGAGACUGGAGAACUUGAGUACAGAAGAGGAAAGCGGAAUUCCACGUGUAGCGGUGAAAUGCGUAGAGAUGUGGAGGAACACCAGUGGCGAAGGCGGCUUUCUGGUCUGUAACUGACGCUGAGGCGCGAAAGCGUGGGGAGCAAACAGGAUUAGAUACCCUGGUAGUCCACGCCGUAAACGAUGAGUGCUAAGUGUUAGGGGGGUUUUCCGCCCCCCUUAGUGCUGCAGCUAACGCAUUAAGCACUCCGCCUGGGAGUACGGCCGCAAGGCUG